rnacentral:lncRNA from 1 species
CCGGACCGCUUCCAGUAGGGACGCCCUACUAACAGCCAUUGCCCUGUCCGACUGCAUGGCGUCGUCGAUUUCUGCAAAAAGAACGAGAUGGUUAGAAACUGAGAAGCUGAUGGAAAGAAGAAACGAAAGAGGAGAAAAGAGCUAAAAAAGAAGAAGUGAUGGCGGGCUCACGGUCGGCGGGGACCGAGCUCAGACCGACGUUCACCAAGGCAUCCUCGGAAAUAAGGCGAGCCACCGGGGGGAGCCGGCCCUCGGCAACUAACCCCCUCAAAACGGCGACGCCAUCGGACUCCUCCCUUGACAACCUCGAUAGGCCGAUCGGGGACUUCAUCGGCGUCUCCCAGGUUGUCCCGAU